UCAAACAAGUGAACAAUGAAGUGCAACGGGUGGACCGGCUCCAGGGAAACCUGCUCCUACACACACUAACCCUACACCCUUG